CAAGCGUGUUCAUCCCCCAGACGGUGCGCAUUGUUGUAAACGCUGUCGUAAAGGUAUAUGACCAGUGUAGUAGAAUGCUGAAGCGGAAUUAGUUUAGCCACACUUUUGGUUGAGGUCCCAAGGAAAUAGGUGGCAACUACUCCACCUCACUCCACAAGGGAGGUGAUAGACCAUAAGGACCUAGCAAAAAAGGUGGCAAAAUGGCUUACUCACUCACUCGCAUUGAGGGUGUACAAGCAUGAAGUUGAAGUGGGAAGGAAUCAGACAGCAGAAAGAUGUUUUAUUUUGAAAGAUUUGGGUGACCUGUGAGUCCCACCUAUGUUCAUGUGAACAGGGAGGGUCCCUCUCAAGCCCAGUGCACAGGACUUCAAGGACACCACUUGGAGGGCACGCUGUGUGCCCUGGGGUGUGGAUCAGUGCCUGGAGCUGCUUGGCAGGUGACAGAGUAAAAAGUGGGCUGCACUAGAAGUAAUGCCUCUCCUCCUGAUGAUGGAUUCCAGUUCUGAAGGCUGGGAAGACCAAGACUAAAGCGCUGGAAGAUUCAGCAUCUGAUCUCAACCCUUGUGCAAAUUGUAUAAGCUUCAAAGGGGAACCCACAAAAUCUGGACCCUGCACAGAGCAUGUACUGCAUAUGUGCUCCUGGCAUUUCACUAAUGUCUUAAAUCAUAUGUCCCAGAGCGCAGGAAUCCAGGCUACAAAGUUCCACUGUGCUUUUAGCAUGGCACAACCAAGCAAUGAAUGUAUUUUAAUCACAGGCCAACAAUAAAGAUAGAGAAUUUAUGAUUUUUGAAAUUCUUUUCUUCUCUAUUACUUAAGGCAGGAUUAGCUCAAUUAAAAUAAUCACAUAAGAAAAUGAAUCGCAUUGCAACUGGAUUAGGAUUGAUGAAAUGACUUUCGGGUAACUCUUUACACAAGAAACAUGCCAUUCAUCUUUGGCUGUGUUGGAAAUGAACCUGAAUGAAGUUGAUUUGACUCUCAUGAACCUUGUGGGAUCAAAAAAAAGCUGAAGAGGACCUGUAACUUCCAGGACUUGCUUACUGGAGUGCUUCUGUGCCAUACAGAAGCUCCCAUACCGGCUGGGAGAAUCCUAAAGAGCUGUUAGCGUUUAUAAUCUCAAGAAUAUACAAGCACAUGCACAAAUAGCAAUUAUGGGCCAAUCAAGUGAAAUCCAUAUUAAGUACAUCAAAAAUCUGUUUACUGUGUAAUAGACUGUUUACCGUAACAUACAUGUACAGAGGAGAUUGCAAAUACACUCUUGAUCUAAGAAGUUUCCACGAUUCACAAAUAAACUUCAUCCUUUCUUCCCAGCCCUCUUGGGUAGUUGGCAUAAAAACAAACAACUUAAAGAAUAGCCUGAUUUAACAUCAAGGCCACUUAAAAAUAGAAAUACUAGUAACUUCUAUUGAAUUAAAGAGUUGCUUCCUUCCUUUGAAUAAUAGCCAUAUAAAUCCAUAAUCCUUUGAGGUGAGAUCAAUUCCAGAAUUCAAAUAACUUAAUUAAUUUAUAGAUUUCAAAAAGGUAAUAUGUGUAUAUACCAUAUAUUAUGCAUCAUCCCUAGCAAAGUCUUGGCAGAACUCUAUGAUCAAACAUAUUAAUAUUUCUGCAGUGAAAGGCAUGAAGAUUCACAUAAAUAAUAGAAAUAAAGAUUAUAAAUAGCUUUAUAUCAUUUCAAGUCAGGUCUUACUGCCAAAUGAAUUCAGGUCAUGUCAGGCUUUGCCACCACAUAAAGUUUUUUAAACGCUGGUUUGUGGUUUUUUUGUAAAAUGAAAUUAUAGAUUAGGGAUUGUGAGCCUGUAUCUCUAAGAGUUCCUGUUAUUUCUCUUUAGUUUUAUACAAGAAAAAAAAUCAAUCAGUGUUUAGUCCUUUGAGGCCUGGGUAGUUAUUCUAUUUGGUUAUGCCAUUCUCCACCCAUCCCAGGACUUUUCAAAGUAAAUCAGAGUAGAACAAAAUAGAAGGACUACUGUCCUCUUGGAGAUUGGUAGUGGUUGCUGGGAGCAGCCUCUUUCCCUACAGCUCUGCUUUAAAAACGAGCUGCCUUUUCAAAUGCAGCACAGGGCCACAGGAGGAGGAGAGAAUUGAUCUCACAGAAUUUAUAGAUGGGGAAAUCACUGCCAGAAAUCAUGCCUCUAGAUAGCACAGUGGGGCCCAUAAAUACUCAAGGCUGGAGGACUGUCUGGACAGAAACCUGUUCAGGAUUCUUGCAGCACGAGUGCUGCCGCUGCCAUUACUCAAAACUCAGACCUCAGAGACAAGCGGGGCUCCAGGAGCUGCAUGUAAACAACAGCAUUUGAUAUAGAAAGAUCAUAAAGUUAUGGAAUGAAUGCAAUCUAGCUACUAAGAACACUCCGCUACAAACUGGAACAAAUCUUCCCAGGAUCAACGUAUCUCCUUCCACCUUUUCCAGAUAGAUGAAUGGAGGACACAACCAUUAACUCAAGGUUGUAGUGAGUGGAAAGAGAGAAAGAGAUGAAUGGGGAACUCUUAGGGAGCUUUUAAAAGGCUAGACACUGUCACUCCCAAGGGAUAUUACAUGUUACUCCACGCUAGGGCCUUUGAGAAAGACACUUGCCUCACCAUUGUUUCUUAAAGCUGAAUAGUAUUCCGUGGCAUACAUAUACCACAUUUUAUUAAUCUACUC